rnacentral:rRNA from 1 species
GAUGAACGCUGGCGGCGUGCCUAAUACAUGCAAGUCGAGCGAACGGACGAGAAGCUUGCUUCUCUGAUGUUAGCGGCGGACGGGUGAGUAACACGUGGAUAACCUACCUAUAAGACUGGGAUAACUUCGGGAAACCGUAGCUAAUACCGGAUAAUAUUUUGAACCGCAUGGUUCAAAAGUGAAAGACGGUCUUGCUGUCACUUAUAGAUGGAUCCGCGCUGCAUUAGCUAGUUGGUAAGGUAACGGCUUACCAAGGCAACGAUGCAUAGCCGACCUGAGAGGGGGGUAAGCAACAAUGGAACAGAGACACGGUACGGAAGCGGACGGGAGGAAGGAGUGGGGAAGAUUGGUGAAUGGGCGCAAGGCGAAUAAAGCAAUAAAGCGUGGGGGAAGAAGGUAUUAGGGUCGGAAAAAACUGUUGUUGAGAAAGACAAGAAGGAGGAGAAUAACUAGAUGUGCGCAGCGGAGCCAAAGAGUGGGGAAAGGCGAAUGUUGUG